rnacentral:rRNA from 1 species
CAAACACAAUAUUGUCCGCCAGAGAACUACAAGCGAAAACCUCAAAACUCCAAGGACUUGGCGGUGCCCCAUACCAACCUAGAGGAGCCUGUCCUAUAAUCGAUACCCCACGUUAAACCCCACCACCUUUAGCCACUCAGCCUAUAUACCGCCGUCGUCAGCCUACCUUAUGAAAGGAAAACAGUAGGCAAAACAGUUAACAACAAAAACGUCAGGUCAAGGUGUAGCAUAUAAGAUGGAAGAGAUGGGCUACAUUUUCUACCCAAGAACACACGGAUGACACAAUGAAAUAUUAAUCUAAAGGUGGAUUUAGUAGUAAGAUGAAUGAGAAACAUCAUCUAAAACCAGCUCUGGAGCGCGCACACACCGCCCGUCACCCUCAUCGU